rnacentral:snRNA from 1 species
GGAUGUGAGGGCGAUCUGGCUGAGAUAUCUGUCACCUCAUUGAUCGCUAAGGUUGAUUCUUGGCUGAUCUGGCUGGCUAGGCGGGUGUCCCGUUCCUUCCUCACUGCUCCAUGUGCAUCCCUCCCAAAGCUGUGAGCUUGGUCAAAGAGGAACACCAUCACAGAUAGAGAAGGACCAUUUCCUUGGUCAAGGGUAUAUGAGUAACUGUUCCCCUGCUAGAAACUCCAAACAAGCUCUCAAGAUGGCCAGUAAGUAUAUGGAAAGGUGCUCAGCUUUAUGACUCAUCAGAGAAGUGCAU